rnacentral:rRNA from 1 species
CCUACGGGUGGCAGCAGUGAGGAAUAUUGGUCAAUGGACGAGAGUCUGAACCAGCCAAGUAGCGUGAAGGAUGACUGCCCUAUGGGGUGUAAACUUCUGUUAUAGGGGAAUAAAAUGUUCCACGUGUGGGAUUUUGUAUGGACCAUAUGAAUAAGGAUCGGCUAACUCCGUGCCAGCAGCCGCGGUAAUACGGAGGAUCCGAGCGUUAUCCGGAUUUAUGGGGUUUCAAGGGAGCGUAGGGGGCUUGUUAAGUCAGUUGUGACAGUUUGCGGCUCAACCGUAAAAUUGCAGUUGAAACUGGCAGUCUUGAUUACAGUCGUGGUGGGCUGACUUCGUUUUGUAGCGG